rnacentral:rRNA from 1 species
UACGGGGGGAGCAAGCGUUGUUCGGAUUUACUGGGCGUAAAGGGCGCGUAGGCGGCCAGCACAAGUCAGUUGUGAAAUCUCCGAGCCUAACUCGGAAAGGUCAACUGAUACUGUGCGGCUAGAGUGCGGAAGGGGCAACUGGAAUUCUUGGUGUAGCGGUGAAAUGCGUAGAUAUCAAGAGGAACACCUGCGGCGAAGGCGGGUUGCUGGGCCGACACUGACGCUGAGGCGCGAAAGCCAGGGGAGCGAACGGG